UGCAAGUCGAGGGGCAGCAUGGUCUUAGCUUGCUAAGGCUGAUGGCGACCGGCGCACGGGUGAGUAACGCGUAUCCAACCUGCCGUCUACUCUUGGCCAGCCUUCUGAAAGGAAGAUUAAUCCAGGAUGGGAUCAUGAGUUCACAUGUCCGCAUGAUUAAAGGUAUUUUCCGGUAGACGAUGGGGAUGCGUUCCAUUAGAUAGUAGGCGGGGUAACGGCCCACCUAGUCAACGAUGGAUAGGGGUUCNGANAGGAAGGUCCCCCACAUUGGAACUGANACACGGUCCNAACUCCUA
rnacentral:rRNA from 1 species